rnacentral:rRNA from 1 species
CCUACGGGAGGCAGCAGUGAGGAAUAUUGGUCAAUGGUCGGGAGACUGAACCAGCCAAGCCGCGUGAGGGAGGAAGGUACAGAGUAUCGUAAACCUCUUUUGUCAGGGAACAAAGGCGGGGACGUGUCCCCGGAUGAGUGUACCUGAAGAAAAAGCAUCGGCUAACUCCGUGCCAGCAGCCGCGGUAAUACGGAGGAUGCGGGCGUUAUCCGGAUUUAUUGGGUUAAAAGGGUGCGCAGGCGGUCUGUUAAGUCAGAGGUAAAAGCCCGGGGCUCAACCCCGGCCCGCCGUUGAAACUGGCAGUCUCGAGUUGGAGAGAAGUAUGCGGAAUGCGCGGUGUAGCGGUGAAAUGCAUAGAUAUCGCGCAGAACUCCGAUUGCGAAGGCAGCAUGCCGGCUCCACACUGACGCUGAGGCACGAAAGCGUGGGUAUCGAACAGGAUUAGAUACCCUUGUAGUC